AAGGCCUGCCUUUUCUCAGGGCUGCCCUGCCCAGGGAGGAGGCAGCCUAGUCACAGUCUGCAUGCAGAGGCUUUGCUGAGUUGCUGUGGGCUCUGACCAGCUGCCCUGUGAGCUUCCCUGCGGUUCUGUUUAUAGGGGUAUAGUUAGAACUGCCUCUCUAAUGGCGGACUACCUCAGCGGUGGUGGACUGCCUCGGUAAUGGCGGACUACCUCAGCAGUGGUGGACUGCCUCGGUAAUGGCGGACUACCUCAGCAGUGGUGGACUGCCUCGGUAAUGGCGGACACCCCUCCCCAACAGAGGGGGACUGUCCCGGGUUCAGCUGCCCUUGCUGAGAAACUCAAUCCAGAGCGCUUCAGAUUGCUGAUUUUUGUGGGGGUAGGACCGGCUGAGCUUGAUCACCUGGCUCCUUGCCUCAGACCUGUCCCCCCCCCCCAGGCAGCUCUGUCCCCCAGGUGUCUCAGUCACCAGUUGAAACAGCGCCAGAUUUGUGUGAUUUCUUGUGCGUUGACCCGCUGCGCCAGCUGAAACAGCUUCUAGAGACUCGUGGCGCUUUUUCACCAGGGAAUCACCUGGCCUGGCUCCCUGUUCCAGCCCCCAUUUUUUCAGUUGAAUGGGCGUCUCUGCCUCCCAGGCGUUUCAGUCACCUGUUGAGAAGGUGCCCGGAUUUGUGAGAUUUUGUGCAGAGAUCUGCUGCUCAGGCUGGGCCGCACUGCGGGCUCACGGCGCCAUUUUGCCGGGAAUCUCCUGGCCCGACGCCUGUUUCAGUCAGCUUUUUAUCAGCUGAACGGGCGUCUCUGCCUCCCAGGCGUUUCAGUCACCUGUUGAGAAUGCGCGGAGAUCUGUGUGGUUUCCCCUGUGGCAAGCCACUGCGCCGCAGCCCCCCAGAGAUUCGUGGGGCUUCUUCGCCCGGGAAUCUCCUGGCCUGGCUCCCUGUCUGAGUCAGCUUUCUAUCAGUUGAACGGGCGACCCUGCCUCCCAGGAGUUCCAAUGGCCAGCUACCUGGACCCAGUAUUGUGUGUGGAGAGCCGCUGUGCCGGCCAAAAAGGCCGCGCUCGCGACCUGUGGGGCUUCUCCGCCCGGGAAUCUCCUGGUCUGUGGGCAAUAAGAAUCCGUCUGGAAAUGUGGCGUCCAGUUCCCCUUCGUGCGGUCACUGGGAGCUGCGGUCCUCAGUUGCUCCUUCCUAAUCGGCCAUCUUGGAUCAGGACUCCAAUCUCUGUUACUUCUUUCUAAGGUGAAAACAAGCAAACGAAUCCAUUAAUCAUCAGCCUACUGUGAGCAAGGGAAGCAUGAAGAAUCGGAGGACUGAGCGGACGUACACAGUGAUAUGUUUUGAGAAGAGCCAGAGAGGAUUUCUGGCUGGAGAUCCCACCACCAAUUGCUGUGGUCCUGACAUUUCACCAUUAACAAGUCAUUCCUAGACAUCUUAAAGGCUUUCUGGUAUUCAAAGGACCUCAGGCAUAACUACCUCAUAAAUGGUUGCUGAAUACUGGCCAAAACACUUAACUAAAUGAAAAUUAAAAGUGCCACUCAUCAGGUAAGAAGAGUCCUGAAACCCCUGUUUCUGGUCUUGAUUCUACCAUUAACUUCUAGGAAAUUUUACCUCUACCAGUGACAGACAUUGGGAUAAUCAUUCCCUGGACCUUUGUUUCUCCUCUGCAAAAGGAGGUGCUUUAAAUAUGUAAUUGAUUUCUAGGGUCUUUUCCAUCUAUAAAGAUUGAAUCUCUGACAGUUGGCCUCUAAAUCAGAAUACUCAGAGGUGUUUGAACCAGAGCAACUCCAUCUUGAACCGGUGCUGAGUAAACAAAGGUUGAGACUUGCUGGGCUGCAUUUCCAGUUAGUUAGGCAUUCUAAGUCAUAGGAUGAGAGAGGAGGUCAGCAUAAGAUACAGGUCAUAAAGACAUUGCUGAGAAAACAGGUGACAGUAAAAAAACUGGCCAAAACUUACCCAAUCAAGGUGACAAGAGUGAGCUCUGGUUGUCUGCACUGCUACACUCCCACCAGCACCAUGAUAGUUUACAAAUGCCAUGGCAACAUCAGGAAGUUACCCUAUCUGGUCUAAAAAGGGGAGGCAUGAAUAAGCCACCCUUGUUUAGCAUAUCAUCAAGAUAGAACCAUAAAAGACAACUAGUAGCUCUUAGAGCUGCUCUGCUUAUGGACUAGCCAUUCUUUCAUUCCUUUACUUUCUUAAUAACUUGCUUUCAUUUUACUCGAUGGACUUGCCUUAAAUUCUUUCUUGUGGGAGAUCCAAGAACCCUCCCUUGGAUCUGGAUCAGGACCCCUUUCCAGCAGCAUUUAGAGAGGGAAAGUGAAGGCUUCCUAGAGAAAGUAGGAAAGUAGAAAAACAAAUGAGAAAAAAAAAAAAACCAAGGUCUAAAAAUUUGAGGAGAAAUGCUGCCAUAGGGAGAAACAUAAUAAUUAUUUACUUCGUAAAGUAUUAUUUUUAAUAAUUUUUCAUAUUUAUUAAAUCCUUAGAAAAAUUCUAGGAAUUUGAUAUUAUGAUUUUUAAUGAACAAAUAAGGAAACUGAAGUUUGUAAAGUCCUUAAAUCACUUGCCAAAGAUACAUGUUGAUUAAGGGGUUGAGUCUAAAAACAAACCAAGAUCUUGGGAUGGAAACCUAGACCCCCUAAAAGGAUCCACCUGCAAGGAAGGAAGUGCCUUGGAAAGAAGAUGAACCGAAAGCACAUUCAGCCUCGGUUUUUCUAGCUAUAUAUGUGAUGUUCAGUCUUCCCUAUAUUUCAGGUAGUAUAAAUACAAAAGGCCAUGGGCCCUGCAUAAGAACAUUUUCUGAUUUAAAAUGUACUAAUUUUAUUUUUUAUCCUGUCAAGGCAUGUACACAUGAAAAGGAAAGGAAGUUGUGGAGUUAUUUGAGGUAUAUCUAAGUUUUUUUUAAAUGUACAUUGGAAAUUAUGAAAACUGUAUUCUGUGCCCUAGUGCUCUCAACACAUUAUCAAAUUAUGUAAAUAAAUACCUGGGCAAAUUCCUUUAUUUAUUCAAUGUUUAUGCAGUUAGAGUUUUAAAAAAUGCUAUUUUUAGGCUUGGCAUGGUGGUGCAUGCCUGCGGUCCUGGCUACUCAGGUGGCUAUGAUGGGAGGAUCGCUUGAGCCCACAGGUUCAUGACCAGCCUGGGCAACAUAGCAAGACCCCGUCUGUCUUGCUUUUUAAAAAAAGCUAUAUUUAAAAAUUAUAGGAGGCAACAAAAGCAGUUAUCAGAGAGAAAAAUUAUUAUUUAUAAUUCUUAUGUUAGAAAAGAGUAAAGGCUUAAAACUGAGUGAACUAAAUACCCAACCUAAAAAAUCUGAAAAAGAACAAUACAAUAAACCCAAAGAAAAAAGAUAAUAGAAAUAAGUACAAAACCAAAUUAAACCAAAAGUAAAAUUUCAAAAAGCUAAAAGUUGUUCCUUAAAGAGAUAAAUGUUGGCAGAGAACUAGAGGACGCCACACUUUCAGACAAAUUCUGGUACCUCAUGGAGCAGAAGAUCCCCAGAGGAGGAACCACACGGGUUGCCAACGCGAUUCUUGUGGCCGGCACAGCUGUUUCGCCGGCACCUCAGCGCGGCAGCUCUCAGAGCAGAGUAAACAGGGCCGGACCGAGGUUUGGAGCCCGGGGAAGGCAGAGUUGCCAUUUACUGACACAAGAAGGAAGCCAGACAGGAGAAUCCUGGGCGGAAAAGCACCAUCAGUCUUAACGCUGCCGUUCUGGCCCUGGGAACUAACAACUUGGACGUCCAAUCAAGAGACCUAAUCUGAAAGUUGGUAAUUUCAAAGACGACAGGAGGAUAAAUUUACAAUGAUGGGAAGAAACCAGCAUAAAAAGGCUGAGAAUACUCAAAAUCAGAACGCCUCUCCCUCUAAAGAUGAUCACAGUUCCACAUCAACAAUGGACAAGGCUUGACAGAGAACGAGCGCAUCCCAAUGACAGAAUCACUCUUUAAGGAAUGGAUAAUAAGAAACUUCUGUGAGUUAAAAGAACAUGUUGUAGCCCAACGUAAAGAAACUAGGAACUUUGAAAAAAGAUUUGAUGAAAUCCUAUUGAGAAUAGACAACUUAGAGAGGAAUAUAAGUGAAUUAAUGGAACUGAAGAAUACAAUACGGGAACUCCGAGAAUUAUGCACAGGUUUAAACACUCGAAUUGUUCAAGCAGAAUAAAGGAUAUCAGAGGUCAAAGUCCAACUUAAUGAAAUAAAAUGAGAAGACGAGAUUAGAGAAAAAAGGAUAAAAAGGAAUGAGCAAAGUCUCCAAGAAAUGUGGGACUAUGUGAAAAGACCAAAUUUACGUUUGAUAGGUGUACCUGAAUGCGAUGGAGAGAAUGAAUCCAAGCUGGAAAAUACCCUUCAGGAUAUUAUUCAGGAAAAUUUUCCUAAACUAGCAAAGCAGGUCAAUAUUCAACCCCAGGUAAUACAGAGAACACCACAAAGAUAUUCCUCAAGAAGAACAACCCCAAGGCACAUAAUCGUUAGAUUCACCAGGGUUGAAACGAAGGAGAAAAUACUAAGGGCAGCCAGAGAGAAAGGUCAGGUUACCCACAAAGGCAAGCCUAUCAGACUUACAGCAGAUCUCUCAGCAGAAACUCUACAAGCCAGAAGAGAGUGGGGGCCAAUAUUCAACAUCCUCAAAGAACAGAACCUUCAGCCCAGAAUUUCAUAUCCAGCCAAACUAAGCUUCACAACUGAAGGAAAAAUAAAAUCUUUUAUGAACAAGCAAGUACUCAGAGAUUUUAUUACCACCAGGCCUGCUUUACAAGAGCUUCUGAAAGAGGCAUUACACACAGAAAGAAACAACCAGUAUUAGCCUUACUAAAAAUAUACCAAAAAGUAAAGAGCACCAACAUAAAGAAGAAUUUUCAUCAACGAAUGGAUAAAACAGCCAGUUAACAUCAAAUGACAGUAACCCUAAAUUUAAAUUGACUAAAUCCCCCAAUCAAAAGACACAGCCAAAACCCAAGGGCAUGUUACAUCCAGACCUGUUUCACAUGUAAGGAUACACAAAGACUCAAAACAAAGGGAUGGAGAAAGAUUUACCAACCAAAUGGAAAGCAGAAAUAAAUAAAUAAAUAAAUAAAAAGCAGGAGUUGCAAUUCUCGUAUCAGAUAAAAUAGAUUUUAAAGCAACAAAGAUAUAGUGGUAAAAAGAUCAAUACAACAACAAGAGCUAACGAUCCUAACACCCAGAUACAUAGAGACUUAGAUUCAAUGAGACAGAAAAUUAAUAAGGAUAUCAAGGACGCGAACUCAGAUCUGCAACAAGUAAACUUAAUACAUAUUUGUAGAGCUCUCCACUUCAAAUACAUAAAAUAUACAUUCUUGUCAAUACCACAUCAAACCUACUUAUAGGUUUAAAUGAAACAUUGAUUGGCCAUUAUUAAUACCCAUUUUUUUUUUCAGAAUAAAGCAAUAGUUCCAUUCACCCUCCCUCUCUCUCUUCCUCUUUCUUUCUCUCCUUUACUCAUUUUUUUUUCUUUCCUUCUCUCAAAAAAAGAAAUCAACUUGUAAACGUCUAGAUCCAGGUCGGCAAUGUCUCUCUCAUUGCUUGAAUUCCUUCCUUCCCUUCCCUCCCUCCCUUCCUC